rnacentral:rRNA from 1 species
ACCAGGUCAAGACAUGGGCGUGAUUGACAGGCUAAUGACUUUUCUCGAUUCCAUGGAUGGUGGUGCAUGGUCGCACUUAGUUGGUGCAGUGAUUUGUCAGGUUUAUUCCGGUAACGAACGAGACCUCGGCCUUGUAAAUAGCUAUGCUGCUUACAGGGACAUUGGCGGCUACGCCAAGGAAGCUCGAGGCAAUUGCAGAUCUGGAAUGCCCUUAGAUGUCCUGGGUCGCACGCGUGCUACAAUGACGCCACGAACGAGCUUGCGUGAUGAAAGUUACGCAUAAUCAGCAGUCGGCGUCUUAAGGGAUAGUCUCUUGUAACUGUGGGACUCCAACUAGGAAUGUCUCGUAAGCACAGGUCAACAUCUUGUGUUGAUUACGUCCCUGCUCUUUGUACACACCGCCCGUCGCUCCUACCGAUCGAGUGUUUAGGUGAAUUUGAUGGACGUAAGGAAGUCAAAUAAACCUGAGCACUAGAGAAGAGAAGUCGAACAGACCACAC